CUCCUUCCGACGAAGGCGGCCGCUGCUUCUUGUCGCCGCUCGCCUGCGCCUCCUCGGCGGCUCCCGCCUGAGGCGUGGAGUCCGGCGGGGGGCCAAAGGGGUUCUCCUCGGGAUCUUCCACCUCGGGGGCGAUGGGAAGAUGUCUGCAUCCCAUCGACUGGCACUCCAGUUGCCACUGAACAUGCCAAACGAUGGCGUCACGUGAACUGAAGUUGCCACAAACCGGGCGCCUCGCUGUCUUCCUCACCUACUGCAAAAAGCCACAAUGGGGUCCACCGUGGUGACGUCCACUUCCUCGUCCUCGGCCGCGUCCGCACCUGCCAGAGCGUUGUACCCGUCUGCUCUGGUUCGCUCUUGUCCUCGUCCUCGAUGUCAAACUCGGACUCGCGCUCUUCGUACUCGACGUUCUCGUCCAGCUCUUUGAAGUCCGGCGCAAAAGCGCUCCAGUUUUCCUGCGGAC